rnacentral:tRNA from 1 species
GCCGGGGUGGCCGAGCGGUCUAAGGCGGCGGGCUGCAGUGGUGCGCGUUGAAACCCGCUUAAUCGCGGGUUCGAAUCCCGCCCCCGGCU